CCUACGGGAGGCAGCAGUGGGGAAUCUUGCGCAAUGGGCGAAAGCCUGACGCAGCCAUGCCGCGUGAAUGAUGAAGGUCUUAGGAUUGUAAAGUUCUUUAGCCUGUGACGAUGAUGACGGUAACAGGAGAAUAAGCCCCGGCUAACUUCGUGCCAGCAGCCGCGGUAAUACGAAGGGGGCUAGCGUUGUUCGGAAUUACUGGGCGUAAAGCGCGCGUAGGCGGUUUUACAAGCCAGAGGUGAAAUGCCUGAGCUUAACUUGGGAAUUGCCUUUGGAACUGUAUGGCUUUGAGGACGAGAGAGGUGAGUGGAAUUCCCAGUGUAGAGGUGAAAUUCGUAGAUAUUGGGAAGAACACCGGUGGCGAAGGCGGCUCACUGGCUCGUUUCUGACGCUGUAGCGCGAAAGCGUGGGGAUCAAACAGGAUUAGAUACCCUGGUAGUCCACGCUGUAAACGAUGAGUGCUAGGCGUCGGCACGCUUGCGUGUCGGUGCCGCAGCUAACGCGUGAAGCACUCCGCCUGGGGAGUACGGUCGCAAGAUUAAAACUCAAAUGAAUUGACGG
rnacentral:rRNA from 1 species